rnacentral:ncRNA from 1 species
UUGAGCCGUAUGCCAUAAAAGUGGCACGUACGGUUCUUACCGGGGGAAAAUCUGCAAAGAUCUACCUAUCGGGAU